AUGUGUCAUACCAGCACUAACACACCGGAUCCCAUCAAAACUCCGAAGCUAAACAUGCUUGGGCGAGAGUAGUAUUAGGAGGGGUGACCCCCGGGGAACUUGCCCGGUAUUGAACAUU
rnacentral:rRNA from 1 species